GGUUGAACCAUAUUGAUCCAAGUUCCAAAAAAAUUUCAGUUUAGUUACCAAUCCGAUUUUGAAUCACCUAUAACUCUCUUAGCACCGUAACCUUUCCAAGAUCCAAAAAAUUUCCAGUUUAGUUACCAAUCCGAUUUUGAAAACAUUGGUUAUCCCUUAUAUACUAAAUUGCAAGUCAUUCAACCAAUCAUAUUCUGACACAUAAUAAAUGUAAAAAAUUAAGAAAAAAACUCAAAAAAUAAUAUUUAGAAAAAAGAAAAAAAGUGAUCUGUAAACUACCCAUGAUCAUACUUUACCCAUGAUCUUUAUUUUUUCAUUCUCUUAUAUCUCCCAAAAUUUUAUCACAUUCGAUAAAGAAAAUUAGAGAAACCUUUUUGAUCGAUCAAAAACAGAAUAUAAAGGAUGUAUUCUUCUUCUUUGCUUUCAAAAUCCUAAUUCAUAUUUGGGGUCAUCUUGAAUGUUCUGAGUCACAGAGCGAGUGCUGAUAGAGAGGAUGUAUUUCUAAUGGGGCUAUUUCUCUUCUUUGUACAUUUUUGUUGAUUACGGCAGGGCAUGACAUGCUUCUUGGGAACCGAUUUAGGGAUAGGAAAGCUCGAGAAAGAGUGGACAUGGUGGAUUUGAAUGGCUGGAGAUUCAACUCGAACAAAUAGACUUUUUAACGUGAAGAAAGAGAAGGAGAUAUAAGGAGGAUAGAAGUCAACCACAAAUGAAGAUGCAAACAUUGAAGAAUCAGAAGAAGGGCUUUUGAUAGAAUGGCUUUUGUUAAAAGGCGAGAAGUUAACCUUCCAACACACAGACCGUCUAGUGAACUCGCCACUCGUGGCAGAAGGAUUGGCCAUGCGAGCUGCAGUGAUGAAAUGUAAACAGCUGGGACUCCAGCAUAUCAGUCCCAGCAUAUCCGAUGUGAGUCAGACUCUGCACACAGUGCCGUCUUAAACAAUUUAAUAACUUUGGGCAAAACAUAAAAUCUGGACCCUUUUACCGACAUUUUCGUCUAACAUUUGUCAUUGCAUAUUUUAAAAAAUUGAACCACAAGAACCUUUUGGUAUUAAUUGAACUUUUCUUUAGAAAAAUAGGUCUUUAUAUGAAAAUUAGGCUUUAUAAAUUGGAAAAUUGGGAAUGGUAAACCAUACAUAAUUUUUUUGUUGUCUUUGUAUUAUUUUUAAUUUAUUAUGGACCUUUUUAUUAUAAUUUCACCAACUAUUUGAUAAACUAAUUUAGUGAAAUAGACUUUUAUAACUCAUAAAAUAACAUUAAAAUUUUUUGUGGACCCAUGGCAAAUGUCCAUGUUGCCAUGGGUAAGAGCCGGCCCUGUCUGCACAACUUAUCAAGUCUUGAACUCUAAGCUGGAACCUCCGGAAAUAUCCAGGGCCAUUUGUCGGUUUAACAUUCUUGGCGUGUUACUUAUCGGGUAAAAUCAAAGUCUUUGACAGAAGGGGUCAUGUGGCGAAGCUAUGCCUUGUGUUCUUACCGAUACUCGUCGCAGUUCUUAUCCGAAUAUCACGUGUCGACGACAAUUGGCCGGAGUGAUCAUCGGAAUAUUUGUCGCUUCUUUCUCUUACCUCCAUUUUUUUUCCUUACCCAUUCGACGAUAAUGAUUAUGAAUUUUAACAGGGUGGGCCCCACAUGCAUAUUUUAGAAUGUUGGCUGAGAAGAGUGGUCUAGCCACGACAAUGACACACAGAGCGGUUCUCGAAGGAUGUUGGACGAAGACGUCGAGCCUGGUUCCACCAACUUGCCGCACAAUCGUAAUCGAGAAAGCACUAUUCUGAAUUUUAAAUAUUCCCCGCACAUUUAUUAAUAGAUUAUACUACUAUUCACGAAG